GGGCUUGUAGCUCAGUUGGUUAGAGCAUCUGACUCAUAAUCAGGGGGUCCCUGGUUCGAGCCCAGGCUGGCCCACCC
rnacentral:tRNA from 1 species